rnacentral:miRNA from 1 species
GAGCAGUUUUCCCAGGAACCCGC